UGUCCUCGAGUGUUGAUAGCCUUAAUCAUCUUAGAUUCUGGACCACUCAACAUUUAGCCCAUCAUGGGCACUCAACCAUCUCUGCAAUUCCUGAUCCUUCCACUAUCCAAAACACCCUCGCAUCCAUGUCUCCCCUCAAAACACCGGGUACUGAUGGUCUUCCAGUUCUUUUUUUCAAAAAACUUAGGACUUUACUGGCCCUGAUCUUAUCAAGGUUGUCCAAGAUUUCUUCAUAAAUCAUUGUUUACUCGAAGGUCUCAACCACAACCAUAUUGCUCUCAUACCAAAAAAGACCGAUAGUAUCUCUCCAAAUGAUUUCCGACCCAUUAGCUUAACAAUAUUGCCAACAAAACCAUCACCAAAAUCCUUUCUAAUCGAAUCAAACCUCAGCUCAAAUCCCGCAUCUCUCCCUUCCAAGGAUCAUUCAUUGAGGGGAGAAGCAUAACUAAUAACAUCCUCUUAGCAAGAGAAAUUUUUCCACCACCGCAAAUCCACCCAAGCUAAACUGGGUUUCUUCGCUCUCAAACUUGACAUGUUGUCCCUAAUUCACUCAUGUGUUGUUGAUGUCUCAUUCUCAAUGUUAAUCAAUGACAGCCAUGAUGGUUUCUUUAAUGCCACAGGGGUCUUCGUCAGGGCAGCCCUCUGUCCCCUUUCCCUUUAUCUCAGUCAUGGAGGCUCUUUCUCGCAUGCUUGGAAAAAAUCUUCAACUUGGGCUUAUCAAAGGGCUCACACUAUCAAAUAGUGAGAUUCCUCUCACUCAGCUCUUUUUUGCUGAGGAUAUUCUCUCAUUUGGCACUUGCUAGGAAUUGGAGUGUAGAGUGAUCAAAGCUACUUUGGCCACCUUUGGCACAAUCUCUGUUCAGGUUAUUAAUUAUGAAAAAUCAUCCAUCCAUCUCAGUCAUGUCGCCGAUAAUCACACUAGAAGAAAGGUUCUCUAAAUUUUCAAUGUGGUCAAGAUAAGCUUGGAUAAUAAAUAUUUGGGCUUGUUGAAAUUCUGAACUGAGUAGUGAAGAAAAACUUUGGCUAAGGCUAGUAUGAUAGAGAAUUAGAGAGAGAGAUCUAGAAGAAGAUAGAGAAUUUGGUGCU